rnacentral:rRNA from 1 species
AGCGGCGGACGGGUGAGUAAUGCCUAGGAAUCUGCCUGAUAGUGGGGGACAACGUUUCGAAAGGAACGCUAAUACCGCAUACGUCCUACGGGAGAAAGCAGGGGACCUUCGGGCCUUGCGCUAUCAGAUGAGCCUAGGUCGGAUUAGCUAGUUGGUGAGGUAACGGCUCACCAAGGCGACGAUCCGUAACUGGUCUGAGAGGAUGAUCAGUCACACUGGAACUGAGACACGGUCCAGACUCCUACGGGAGGCAGCAGUGGGGAAUAUUGGACAAUGGGCGAAAGCCUGAUCCAGCCAUGCCGCGUGUGUGAAGAAGGUCUUCGGAUUGUAAAGCACUUUAAGUUGGGAGGAAGGGCAUUAACCUAAUACGUUAGUGUUUUGACGUUACCGACAAAAUAAGCACCGGCUAACUUCGUGCCAGCAGCCGCGGUAAUACGAAGGGUGCAAGCGUUAAUCGGAAUUACUGGGCGUAAAGCGCGCGUAGGUGGUUUGUUAAGUUGAAUGUGAAAGCCCCGGGCUCAACCUGGGAACUGCAUCCAAAACUGGCAAGCUAGAGUAUGGCAGAGGGUGGUGGAAUUUCCUGUGUAGCGGUGAAAUGCGUAGAUAUAGGAAGGAACACCAGUGGCGAAGGCGACCACCUGGGCUAAUACUGACACUGAGGUGCGAAAGCGUGGGGAGCAAAACAGGAUUUAGAUACCCUGGUAGUCCACGCCGUAAACGAUGUCGACUAGCCGUUGGGAUCCUUGAGAUCUUAGUGGCGCAGCUAACGCAUUAAAGUUCGACCGCCUGGGGAGUACGGCCGCAAGGUUAAAACUCAAAUGAAUUGACGGGGGCCCGCACAAGCGGUUGGAGCAUGUGGUUUA